CUCAGUAACACAGUAUUACAGUAAGUCCCCCAGUUUACAGUUCAGAUUUUCCUUAAAGCCCUCACACAGGACUGCAGCAGGAUUUAAACAUCUGUUCAAGAUGAACAGAAAAGCACUGAAGGCAACUGAUCAGGAGAAACUUAGCCAUGCCUUUAUCUCCUCCUGCCUCGACUACUGAACUCCCAUGAUCUGUACCUCUCUCAGAGGUAAUCGAGGAAGAAGCUGACUAUGUUAAUGCAGCAGCAGAUCAGAAGUUCCUCUCCUUCACUCCGUCUUUUCCACCAGUGGCAGUGUGCUGGGUGAUUCUGUCAGUGAUUAUGGCCCUUCAAAUACACUUUACCUCUGUCAUUUCUGAACACAACGCCAAGCUGACUGCAGAAAACCACAACUUGACAUCACAAACCAGGAUAUGGAGACACAUAUCAACAACUUAACGGAACAAAUACAAAACAUGGAGACAAAGUGGAAUGAACUCAACAUUAGUCGAGCUCAGUGGAGCAUUGAUGCCUACUGCCCAAAAGAGCAGAGUAUGUUCAGAACCCAUUUAUAAGGUUAAAAAAUAACCAAUAAAAAAGCACAACAUGUAUACCA